rnacentral:rRNA from 1 species
UACAGAGAUGGCAAGCGUUGUUCGGAAUCACUGGGCUUAAAGCGCGUGUAGGCGGAGCGAUAGGCGCCUUGUGAAAUCCCUCGGCUCAACCGAGGAACUGCUUGGCGAACCGGCGCUCUUGAGGCAGGUAGAGGUAACUGGAACCAUAGGUGGAGCGGUGAAAUGCGUAGAGAUCUAUGGGAACGCCGGUGGCGAAAGCGAGUUACUGGGCCUGUUCUGACGCUGAGACGCGAAAGCGUGGGUAGCAAACAGG